CCAAUAGCGUAUAUUAAAGUUGUUGCAGCUAAAAAGCUCGUAGUUGAAUUUCGGGAUCAAUUUGUCGGUCGUGCCUCGGUACGGACUGGUAUUAUUGGUUCCUCCCUUCUGACGAACCGCGAUGUCAUUAAUUUGGUGUCGUGGGGAAUCAGGACUGUUACUUUUAAAAAAUUAGAGUGUUUAAAGCAGGCUUACGCUUGAAUACAUUAGCAUGGAAUAAUGAAAUAGGACGUUUGAUUCUAUUUUGUUGGUUUCUAGGAUCGCAGUAAUGAUUAAUAGGGAUAGUUGGGGGCAUUAGUAUUCAAUUGUCAGAGGUGAAAUUCUUGGAUUUAUUGAAGACUAACUACUGCGAAAGCAUUUGCCAAGGAUGUUUUCAUUAAUCAAGAACGAAAGUUAGGGGAUCGAAGACGAUCAGAUACCGUCGUAGUCUUAACCAUAAACUAUGCCGACUAGGGAUCGGAUGAUGUUAAUUUUUUAAUGACUCAUUCGGCGCCUUACG
rnacentral:rRNA from 1 species